rnacentral:rRNA from 1 species
CAGCAGCCGCGGUAAUACGUAGGUCCCGAGCGUUGUCCGGAUUUAUUGGGCGUAAAGCGAGCGCAGGCGGUUAGAUAAGUCUGAAGUUAAAGGCUGUGGCUUAACCAUAGUACGCUUUGGAAACCGUUUAACUUGAGUGCAGAAGGGGAGAGUGGAAUUCCUAGUGUAGCGGUGAAAUGCGUAGAUAUUAGGAAGAACACCAGUGGCGAAAGCGGCUCUCUGGUCUGUAGCUGACGCUGAGGCUCGAAAGCGUGGGUAGCGAACAGGAUUAGAUACCCGUGUAGUCCCUGUCUCUUAUACA